rnacentral:rRNA from 1 species
GAUGAACGCUGGCGGCGUGCCUAAUACAUGCAAGUCGAGCGAACAGACGAGGAGCUUGCUCCUCUGACGUUAGCGGCGGACGGGUGAGUAGCACGUGGAUAACCUACCUAUAAGACUGGGAUAACUUCGGGAAACCGGAGCUAAUACCGGAUAAUAUAUUGAACCGCAUGGUUCAAUAGUGAAAGACGGUUUUGCUGUCACUUAUAGAUGGAUCCGCGCCGCAUUAGCUAGUUGGUAAGGUAACGGCUACCAAGGCGACGAUGCGUAGCCGACCUGAGAGGGUGAUCGGCCACACUGGAACUGAGACACGGUCCAGACUCCUACGGGAGGCAGCAGUAGGGAAUCUUCCGCAAUGGGCGAAAGCCUGACGGAGCAACGCCGCGUGAGUGAUGAAGGUCUUCGGAUCGUAAAACUCUGUUAUUAGGGAAGAACAAAUGUGUAAGUAACUAUGCACGUCUUGACGGUACCUAAUCAGAAAGCCACGGCUAACUACGUG